UACGGGGGGGGCAAGCGUUGUUCGGAAUUACUGGGCGUAAAGGGCUCGUAGGCGGCCAACUAAGUCAGACGUGAAAUCCCUCGGCUUAACCGGGGAACUGCGUCUGAUACUGGAUGGCUUGAAUCCGGGAGAGGGAUGCGGAAUUCCAGGUGUAGCGGUGAAAUGCGUAGAUAUCUGGAGGAACACCGGUGGCGAAGGCGGCAUCCUGGACCGGCAUUGACGCUGAGGAGCGAAAGCCAGGGGAGCAAAGC
rnacentral:rRNA from 1 species